rnacentral:rRNA from 1 species
CCUACGGGUGGCAGCAGUGGGGAAUAUUGGGCAAUGGGCGCAAGUCUGACCCAGCAACGCCGCGUGAAGGAAGAAGGCCUUCGGGUUGUAAACUUCUUUUAUGGGGGAAGAGCAGAAGACGGUACCCCUUGAAUAAGCCACGGCUAAAUACGUGACAGCAGCCGCGGUAAUACGUAGGUGGCAAGCGUUGUCCGGAUUUACUGGGUGUAAAGGGCGUGCAGCCGGAGAGGCAAGUCAGAUGUGAAAUCCGCGGGCUCAACCCGUGAACUGUAUUUGAAACUGUUUCCCUUGAGUGUCGGAGAGGUAAUCGGAAUUCCUAGUGUAGCGGUGAAAUGCGUAGAUAUUAGGAAGAACACCAGUGGCGUAGGCAGAUUACUGGACGAUAACUGACGGUGAGGCGCGAAAGCGUGGGGAGCAAACAGGAUUAGAUACCCGUGUAGUC